rnacentral:rRNA from 1 species
GCCUGUGGCCAUGCCACCCUGAACACGCCCGAUCUUGUUUGAUCUUAGAAGCUAAGCAGGGUCGACCCUGGGUAGUACGUGGAUGGGAGACCACCUGGGAAUGCUGGGUGCUGUAGGCU